rnacentral:ncRNA from 1 species
CUAAAAACUAUGAUGAGAAGAGUAAAUAUAGGAACUUUCUAAAGCGAAUUGGUUAUGGUGAAAGUCCAAUGUAAGUCUAUAUUGAAGAACAUCUCGAAGUUUCUAACCGAAACCACUAUGGAAUUAGGCUUAGAGGUAUUCAACACCUUAAAAUUGAAGGAUAAGGUAUUUAUCUUAUCCUAAGAGCUGGUCAUAUUUAUGACAAAUUGGGUGGUACCGCGAAUUAAGUCUUUCGUCCCUUUA